CCAUGCACUCUACUAAUUAUCCUCAGUUCUGAUUUUAUUUCAAAUGAUUUAAUGUCUCACCAUAACUGAGACUCUAAUAUUUAAAAAUGCAAAGAAACAAAUAUAUUUCUAUACCCUCAUGACCAUCCACUCUACUAAUUACUCAC